rnacentral:tRNA from 1 species
GGAGGGAUGGCAGAGCGGACGAAUGCGACGGUCUUGAAAACCGUUGGGUGACGAGCCCCGGGGGUUCGAAUCCCCCUCCCUCCGCCA